rnacentral:rRNA from 1 species
UACGAAGGGGGCUAGCGUUGCUCGGAAUCACUGGGCGUAAAGGGUGCGUAGGCGGGUCUUUAAGUCAGGGGUGAAAUCCUGGAGCUCAACUCCAGAACUGCCUUUGAUACUGAAGAUCUUGAGUUCGGGAGAGGUGAGUGGAACUGCGAGUGUAGAGGUGAAAUUCGUAGAUAUUCGCAAGAACACCAGUGGCGAAGGCGGCUCACUGGCCCGAUACUGACGCUGAGGAACGAAAGCGUGGGGAGCGAACAGG